UGACAGAGGGGAGUUGCCUGUGAUUUUGCGAAGUGACCAAGAAUCCCAAUGUCUGGAGGCAUCCUGAUUGGUGUCAGGGCAUUUGUCAGACGAAAUUUAGUGUCUGUAGCAUUCCCCGUUGUAUGUUUUGGCUCUAUUGUUGCAGAUUACUCACACACAAAGGCUUGGAAAGCAAGCAAGAAGGCAGCGCAAGACCCUGCUGUUCUAUCUGACUGAGAUGCUGGCUCCAAUCGUGCGUCAUCCGCUGGUAGCUGCCUCGCCGCUAGCCUGUUCCCUGUUCUUCACCAGUUGAUACCUCGACCAGAUGGACGACGAGCAUGUGACCUUGUUCAGGGGCAGGUCAAUGCUGCAUGGCUGGCAGCUGGCGCCAGACAAGAGGCCGCCGUGGUUUUGUGGAAUACAUAACCAUGUGCAGAAGUCGCUGGUGUUCGGCUAGCAGCUGUGAAUGUUGUUCUUUGUUUUUUAAGGGUGUAUGUAAUAUAUGAGUGAGAGUUGUUCACCCGUAUGUCGUCGUCCUUGCGUUAAAUAACACGUUUCAGCGGC
rnacentral:lncRNA from 1 species